rnacentral:rRNA from 1 species
AUACGGAGGGGGCUAGCGUUGUUCGGAAUUACUGGGCGUAAAGCGCGUGUAGGCGGAUCGUUAAGUCAGGGGUGAAAGCCCGGAGCUCAACUCCGGAAUUGCCCUUGAUACUGGCGGUCUAGAGGCCGGGAGAGGUGAGCGGAAUUCCCAGUGUAGAGGUGAAAUUCGUAGAUAUUGGGAGGAACACCAGUGGCGAAGGCGGCUCACUGGCCCGGUUCUGACGCUGAGACGCGAAAGCGUGGGAGCAAACAGGAUUAGAAACCCUAGUAGUCC